rnacentral:rRNA from 1 species
UACAGAGGUCCCAAGCGUUGUUCGGAUUCAUUGGGCGUAAAGGGUGCGUAGGCGGCGCGGUAAGUCGGGUGUGAAAUCUUGGAGCUUAACUCCGAAACUGCAUUCGAUACUGCCGUGCUUGAGGACUGGAGAGGAGACUGGAAUUUACGGUGUAGCGGUGAAAUGCGUAGAUAUCGUAAGGAAGACCAGUGGCGAAGGCGGCAUCCUGGACCGACAUUGACGCUGAAAGGCGAAAGCUAGGGGAGCAAACGGG